UCGCAGGCAGGGAGGGACCAGAGGAACCGCCCCAGCCGCUCGAUGUUGCCGCCUUGCUGGAGCACCUCGCAGACGCAGGCCACUUGCUCUUGGGUGAAGCCAAAAGUCGGGAGCAUCGACAUGGUUCUUGAAUCGGCUCAAAUACGCUGGGGACCUUUUACUUCCCAGAGAAAAAACCUGACAAGUGGUGGAAGAAAUGAACUGGACCUUACAGUCAUCAUGAAGUGAGCCUCAGCUCUCAAGAAGAGAAGAAAUAAAGAAGUGUAAUUGGGGUGGAAUUAAAAGACAACUAGAGCCAUAUUGCACAAUCAAGUUUUAAGCAGAUUUGCCACAGAGUGCGAUACAUCCCACAUGGAA